rnacentral:rRNA from 1 species
GUGCAUGGCGCAGCUACACAUGCAGUCGAGCGAGAUCUUCGGAUCUAGCGGCGGACGGGUGAGUAACGCGUGGGAACGUACCCUCUUCUGCGGGAUAGCCACUGGAAACGGUGAGUAAUACCGCAUACGCCCUUCGGGGGAAAGAUUUAUCGGAGGAGGAUCGGCCCGCGUUGGAUUAGGUAGUUGGUGGGGUAAUGGCCUACCAAGCCUACGAUCCAUAGCUGGUUUUAGAGGAUGAUCAGCCACACUGGGACUGAGACACGGCCCAGACUCCUACGGGAGGCAGCAGUGGGGAAUCUUAGACAAUGGGCGCAAGCCUGAUCUAGCCAUGCCGCGUGAGUGACGAAGGCCUUAGGGUCGUAAAGCUCUUUCGCCUGUGAUGAUAAUGACAGUAGCAGGUAAAGAAACCCCGGCUAACUCCGUGCCAGCAGCCGCGGUAAUACGGAGGGGGUUAGCGUUGUUCGGAAUUACUGGGCGUAAAGCGCACGUAGGCGGAUUGGAAAGUAUGGGGUGAAAUCCCAGGGCUCAACCCUGGAACGGCCUCAUAAACUUCCAGUCUGGAGUUCGAGAGAGGUGAGUGGAAUUCCGAGUGUAGAGGUGAAAUUCGUAGAUAUUCGGAGGAACACCAGUGGCGAAGGCGGCUCACUGGCUCGAUACUGACGCUGAGGUGCGAAAGUGUGGGGAGCAAACAGGAUUAGAUACCCU